CUUAGCAUCAGCUUGUAAUGUUGUCACGUCCUGUUGUUUUAUCUAGCUAACAAGCUAACUUUUAAAGUAACGUUAACUAAUGUUGAUUUCAGAAAAAAAAGCCGUGAUCGUCCGUGCAUUACCUUCCACGUCAUGCACAUAUCCCUCGAUCCAGUUGCUGUAUCCUUUCAGCAAAACAGCCCGGGGAAUAUUGCCUUAUUGGCCCAUUUUUCGACAUAGUCCACUGUUAUUUCGGGAAGACAUGAAAGAUUUGAUGUCCACACAGGUAUCGCCAUGAUGACAGACCCCCGCUGCUGCGCUUUGUCAAUGAACUUUCGGUUUAGAGUGUACCCCCUAGCCUCGUUUUGGAUUUCAAGAUGGAGGCGCGGUGAAUAAGACCUUUCCCAAACUACUAUGGUGGAUGAUUUUCCAGGAUGUCCUGUCUCGCUUAAGUAUCUGGUUUAAUGAGGUCCGUAGGAAUGAGGGUGAGAUAAGAAAACCACACAGAGCUUGGGUGAGCAUACCAAAAGACUGCUUACUCCCUAUAUAGUAGGCCUUGGUCAAAAGUGGUAUACCAUAUAGGAAAUAGGAUGUAAUUUGGGUAGUAAUCCAGGCUGAAUUCAAGAAUGGGUGGCAACCUGUUGGAUUUCCUUUUCCACAGUGUCAGGUAAUGAGAUUGGUGGACAGACAGAUGUGGGUGAAAAGGAGUGUAAGGGAGCCUGUUAUAGGCCAGAAACAGUCUAGACCAGGGUUAGUGUAGGCCUUAAAACCAAGCUAGUGUGUCGGGUAUCCAUGUGCUCGGUGCACAUUUCACUGUUACCUCACUGGGAUGUGCUUACAGGUGUGCUCACCGAGGGAGGCCACCUGACACUUGGCUGAAACCCUAGAGCAUCACCCACGCCACCCCACAAGGAUAGGACUGGGCUGUGGCCAAGAGAGGAUUAGGUUCUGGCUGAUUACAUAGAGACUGAAUCUCAAGGGCAAACAAGGCCAAACAAACUGCUUUUGUCUCUUACGUACUCCACUCAUGGAAUGCUUCACAAACUAGCCAUAGGCUUGGAAAUUUAGAUUUUUAGUAAAUGGCCUUUUGAUUGUUCAUUGUGAUUGCUUUUCUUAAUGUUUGUGCAUUUGAAAUUGUAUAUGUAAAUAUUUUAGAUGUUAUUAUAUUGUACAUUUUUCAUGUUUUUUAUUUUUUAUUAUUGCUGUAACAUUGGGCACAACAUGAAAAGAGACCUAGGUCUCAGCUUGAUUUCCCUGAAAAGAUUUAAUGUAGCUGUGUGAUAUUCAGAGUACACAGCCAGGUAGGAGACAAAGCAAGGUUUUCAUGGGAGGAUUUAGGACAUCAUAGAUGAAGCUGGGAAAGUUGUUUUUGUUGAAUGCGCAGGUUUUAAAUUACAACUACUGCACAGACACUGACAAGAUUAAUAGUAUAUUUAUG
ensembl:lncRNA